UAGUCGAUGGGAAACAGGUUAAUAUUCCUGUACUUGGUGUUACUGCGAAGGGGGGACGGAGAAGGCUAUGUUAGCCGGGCGACGGUUGUCCCGGUUUAAGCAUGUAGGCUGAUUGUCCAGGCAAAUCCGGAUAAUCAAGGCUGAGGUGUGAUGACGAGGCACUACGGUGCUGAAGUAACAAAUGCCCUGCUUCCAGGAAAAGCCUCUAAGCAUCAGGUAACAUCAAAUCGUACCCCAAACCGACACAGGUGGUCAGGUAGAGAAUACCAAGGCGCUUGAGAGAACUCGGGUGAAGGAACUAGGCAAAAUGGUGCCGUAACUUCGGGAGAAGGCACGCUGGUGUGUAGGUGAAGUCCCUGCGGAUGGAGCUGAGACCAGUCGAAGAUACCAGCUGGCUGCAACUGUUUAUUAAAAACACAGCACUGUGCAAACACGAAAGUGGACGUAUACGGUGUGACGCCUGCCCGGUGCCGG
rnacentral:rRNA from 1 species